ACUAUAUUUGGUGUAUGGAAAUAUUUUAUGAUCUUUAUGUCAGUCGCGCAGGUUUUAUUUGACCGUGACCUCAUUUUCACGGUUCAUUGCACAGUGUUAAGUUUUUGUGUUUUGGUCUAUUAUUCUUUAACUUUAAGUAAUGGGUCAACUAUAUAUGUUUUAUAGAAGCAUUGUUAGCUGUACAUGUCUGCCUGGCAUGGUUUAUCUGACCUUGACCUAAUUUUCAAGGUUCAUUGGUCUUUGUUUAGUUAUCUUGGUUAAUGUUAAGUUUAUGUGACAGUUGUAAUAAAGCUUAGCUUUAUACUUUGGACUAUCAACAUAAUAUCAAUGAUUAGUAUAGAAGGCGAGACAUUUCAGUGUGUGCACUCUUGUAUUUCUCUAGUAUCUAUAAUUGCAUUUACUUGAUUUAAAUCUUACUUCUGUUGUAUGAUUGCCUUACUAUAUACUUUUAAUAAACCUCUGUGACAGA
rnacentral:lncRNA from 1 species